GUGUUCACUUAGGCAGCACACACACUAAAAUUGGAAUAACGCAGAGAAGAAUGGUAUGGCCUCUGCAAAAGGAUGACAUGUAAACUUGUGAAGUGUUUCAUUUUUUU